CGUCAUCAGAUUGGCCGUGGAUCUCAUCCGGUUUGGUUAUAUUUUUUGUCCAUUCUUGACCUCGCGUAACAAGAUUUUGGAAGCGGCUUUUCACGGUCUGAAUCUUCCUCUCCAAUUGCUCACCUACCGUGUUCUUGUUUGCGACUCUUGGCUCCCUGGUUCCAAUAAAUGGCAACACGAUUGGUUCUGUUCCGGAAAAUUUCGUCCUAGGGGCAACAGCCUGAGACUGCUUGAUGGUUGACCCAGCAAUCAAACUUGGACGAGCUUUCGAACCUUUUACCGAAAUAUCAAACCGGACUUUACCACAAAGGAAUCCUUGGAAAGAGAAAGUGGAGGUUUGACCAACUACUCACUGGGAUGGGAACUCUCCUCAGGAGAUGACUGGACAUCAAGUUCAUUGGGACUCCUUGAAUUGGUCUC